rnacentral:rRNA from 1 species
UGAGUAACACGUAUCCAACCUGCCGUCUACUCUUGGACAGCCUUCUGAAAGGAAGAUUAAUACAAGAUGGCAUCAUGAGUCCGCAUGUUCACAUGAUUAAAGGUAUUCCGGUAGACGAUGGGGAUGCGUUCCAUAGAUAGUAGGCGGGGUAACGGCCCACCUAGUCUUCGAUGGAUAGGGGUUCUGAGAGGAAGGUCCCCCACAUUGGAACUGAGACACGGUCCAA